UGCACAAUUUGACGGUCGCCAUAACUGUAUCAGUGCUUGGGUUGUGUUUGUCGUCUACACACGUGCGAAGCCAGUCAAAACUUCAGUCCUGUGGUGAGUCGUUAUUUUCUUGUUAAUGUGAGGUUUAUUUUCAUUUAUACAUAGUUAACUAUGAUUUGUUAAAAUGUAGUUUGUUGAUAUUCGAAAUUACCAAAAAAAACAUUAGUUCUGAUUAUAACCUCCAAUUAUGCCUUUUUCGUCAGUCCGUUGGCGUCAGUCCUUUGUUAGGUAUCGCGUUAGAGGACUGACGUGUCUCCAUAGUACUGUUUUUUUAUGUUGUUUUAGAGCGCAUUUAUCUUAAUUGCUACCAUGUAUAAGCAUUUCUAUUUUAUAUUUCAGUUUAAAACAUCAUGCGGCACGCUAAAAGACUAGGGAAGAAAUAUUUAAAAAAAAGAGAGAAGCCGGAAAGGCUCGCUUGGCCAGAAUUAAAAGUGAUCCUAUUAAAUUAACGGAAUA